rnacentral:misc_RNA from 1 species
GAUGAAGAACGUAGCGAAAUGCGAUAAGUAGUGUGAAUUGCAGAAUUCAGUGAAUCAUCGAAUCUUUGAACGCACAUUGCGCCCGCCAGUAUUCUGGCGGGCAUGCCUGUUCGAGCGUCAUUUCAACCCUCAAGCUCAGCUUGGUGUUGGGACUCGCGGUAACCCGCGUUCCCCAAAUCGAUUGGCGGUCACGUCGAGCUUCCAUAGCGUAGUAAUCAUACACCUCGUUACUGGUAAUCGUCGCGGCCACGCCGUAAAACCCCAACUUCUGAAUGUUGACCUCGGAUCAGGUAGGAAUACCCGCUGAACUUAAGCAUAUCAAUAAGCGGAGGA